GACACAUACUUUGGAACCUCAUGUUGUACUCCAGAAAUAAGUGCCAUUUUUAUGUGUCAGGCACCUCAGGAGGGCCAAGUCCCCAGUGAAGUACUGAAUUCCUGAUAAGAUGAAACGCCAGGCCACUGAAAGGACAGAGCUGCUCGCCACCUUGUGAGGCCUCUGCCCUCAUUCUUUUUCCUUGACUCCUACAGAAGUCUGUACAGCUGGGAGGCAUCUUCCAGGACCAGAUUUUAGGACCUUCCCAUGUCCUUGGUCCCACCCCAUCUGCCAGUGGUGGGGCCCAUACGAGAAGUCAGGAAGCCUCAGUGUAUCCAGAGACUUCCAGGCUCCAAGGUCUUCCACACAGUGAGACUGAAACGCCAGGCAUCGGGAUACCCUGCCCUGCUGAGAACACAGAGACAGACACUCCUGGAGCCUGUGGAAAAGACUGCUGGGCCAUGAUCACUGUGGUUUCUGGCAAGUCAGAUUUCUUCUAAAACACAGCCCUGAAUGCACACAGGACACCCCCAACAAUGAGCCCUCAGAGGAAGCCAGCGGCCUCCCACAGCCUGGAAGACAUUCGACCGUGACACAGUGCAGCCAGAGUCCAGGGUCAGCUUGACCACUGGUAUCCCUUGUUCUUCCUGGAGACUGGAUUCAAGUCCUCUUCCCAUAGCAUUUACAUGGUCAGAGGCACUGCAAGUGAUCUAGAGAUAAUUUAAAGCAUGCAGGAGGAUAUGCACAGCUUCGAUGCAAAUCCAACAACAUUUUAUAUGAUGGACUUCAUUGUAUACUUGUUAUCCGUGAGAGGUAUCCUGAGAAUUCUGAGGGGCUGCUGCAUAUAUUGAGCACCUACUGCAUGCUAGGCUCUGAGGGUAUUUCAGGGAAUGAGAUGGAAAAAUAAGCACAGAAACAUGUGAAAUGGCACAGCAGUUGGUGCAGUGUGGUAUGGAACAAAAGGAAGGAGGAAGGAGGGGAAGGAGUUGGCUUGGUUCUCUGGCUGAUGGGGCUGUUAGGGGGCAGAGGACACCCACUUCCAUAAUGAAUAUGUAACAUGGUAAGAUCAGAAAAUGUGUCUCCUUCUAAAGCAGAUAAUCGCUGUGCUGAAGUGCCUUCCUUUGCGUAAAAUUAUAGGUAUGGGUUUGGAGCACAGGUCAUAGGAGAGGCCCAUUAGCAGCUCUCUGCUCCCAAUUUCAACUGCCACUGUGAAGGGAGACUUUGACUAAAAUAAUAAUUCACUCGUGUCUCAGCCCUUCACAUCAGUGAAAUCUGUCUCACUGCUGCAUGGAGUGUGCAAAAAUUCCAGAGAAUACAGCUAUUUCUGCACUCCUAGAAGUGAGUGUUGUGGGAGGCUAGAUUAUGGCCCCAAAGAGAUCCACAUCCUAACUAUGGAAACCAGAAAAUGUGUGGCCUUAGCUGGUAAAAGGGUUUUUACAGAUACAUGGUUGCAAUAGAAAAUUACAGCAAAUGUUUAAAUAGCUUUAAAAAUUUAUUACAGUAAAAGACACAGUGCCAUUAAUUCCCCACAAAAUAUUUCCCCUGGUUUUGAACACACUUAUCCCACUGUUCUGGCCACUUUCUGA